rnacentral:rRNA from 1 species
UACGGAGGGGCUAGUGUUGUUCGGAAUUACUGGGCGUAAAGAGCGCGUAGGCGGUUUGUAAAGUUGGAAGUGAAAGCCCAAGGCUUAACCUUGGAAUUGCUUUCAAAACUUAUAGACGCUAGAGAUCGGUAGAGGAUGGUGAAUUCCGUAGUGUAGAGGUGAAAUUCGUAGAUAUUAGGAGGACACCGGUGGCGAAGGCGGC